rnacentral:lncRNA from 1 species
GAAUCGACCCGCUUUAGCAUUAUGCGGACUUAAAAAAUCAUUAUUGCUUUCACACGUAAUUCUUCAAAAGAGUAAAAGAAAAAAAAAUCUGCCGCUGUGUCUUUGGUACGAUUAUUGUUGGAGUAUGAUGACAUGGCGGUCCACGUAGCACCAGUCCAAAGCUCACAGCAAAAGGAAAAAAAAAGACAAAAAAAGAAAGGGGUGCGAAACGGUUCAGGGUUUUGGGAUCUUUGGAGUGGCGGCAAAGAGAGAAAAUGCCAGACCAAGAAGACGACCAUCAACAACAACUCAACUCAUCAAGGAGCAAGACAACGAUAACGACGACGACGACGACGAAGAUUAUGACACGCUUGAUGGUAUCUCCUUGGAUCUUACUUUUGAUGCUAAUACUUUUGUUAGAUUCCAAGGCAAAUUAUAUUUUUCAAACGCAAUGUUUUUUAGGUACUUAAUUGUAUGAUUCCUGUUGUGUUUAUUUCUAAGACAAUGGAAGUUUUCAUACGUUGAUGCUUGCAUUUAUUGUAAUCCUUGUGCAAUUCUGUAAUGUUAAUGAUUCUGGUUUUUUUUUUUAAUGCCUCAAAUUUAUCGAUAUCUUAUGUUCUUGAAAUGUAUCUGGACAAGGUGCUGGUUGGAAUAAGAGCUCCAAGUUUCAAUAAUUAUUGUCUGAAAAUUUUCUGAACUAUAGUACAUUCUGUGAGCAUAUUACAAUUGCAUGAAAAUGACAUGUAGGUCCAUCUCUUUUUCUUCCUCCCAUUUUUCUCCUUUUUGGUGCUUUUCCUUGGGAUUUGUAUCGAUCGGCUUUCCCAAUGUACAAAGCAAAAGUUUACGUUGUCCUAGUGUUUCAACAAGGGACCAUGGGCGGAGGAAAGCUUGGAUAUAUUAUGAACACGAUUUUUUGACACUAUGCAUGAACCUUUUUUUCGAUUGUUAUCUUGUACUCGCAUUUUUAUUUUCAUUCAAGAUCUGACGAAUGAAUGUACUUCUGUUGUCCAUGUACCAGUGUUCUCGAGGAUCAAAACCUCAUGAUCAAGGUGAUUCAUCUAGUGUAGAUGAUAUGAAUUUCAAGGCCAGUUAGGUAGAGAUUAUGGUUUGGAUCGGUUUGUUUUAGAUGUUCAAAUAAUGCCUUGACGACUUUUAUUCGAGUUAGACACACGUGUGGUUUAAUUUGCUUUGGGCCUUUUUUGGGUUUGUUAAAUCCUUUUGGUUUAGUGAUCCAAAUUUCAAUCUCACUUUUUCCAUUUUGCAUUUCAUCAACCAUAUUGGAUUUAUUAAGCUGUCCAAAAUUUCAGAUUCAGGGGGAUCAACCGUUGGAUAUAUUAUUGUGGUGGUUCUUUGACACCUAUGACAAUCAUACUGGAGAUGGGUUUUACCUUGAAUCUAUCUGUAGCAUGAAAACAUUCAAAGCUCAACUGUGCUGAUAUUCACCAAUGAG